AUGGUAAAGAAUGGGUGGGUCCUGCCUGGGGCUAUUUUAGGGGGAGGGUUUCUCUCACUUUGCUUGGGCACGGAGCAGUUGCAGAAGAGGGGUUUAUGGUGGGCUUCCCUGGGGGUACCUCAUGGAAUGAUACUGAGACCAUCUCAUAGGAUCUGGGAGAACAGCUGGAUGCGUUUGGACAUGGAGCAUUGCUUAAAGGAGGUGCCGAGGGAGAAACCUUUGUGUCUGGAAGCAGCAUCGGAGCAAGGCCAAAUACGAGUGGCAAAACAACGUUGGCAUGGAACUGCUGCAGGAGAGGAGUUUCUGGUGGGCUCCCAGUGGCAUCUGAUGGAGUGACGGUGAGAGCAUCUCAUAGGGUCUGGGGGAGCACCUGGAUGCACUUAGACUUGGAGUACUGCUUAAAAGAGGUGGUGAUGGACAAAGCUUUUUGCCAGGAAGCAGCACCUGAACAGCUGAGCUAGUGUGGAUUUGCAGGGGUGAUCUUUGUCCUUUUCCCUUUUGAUUUCAUCGUGGCAGUCCCUCCCCGGUGCCCUCAAUCUGUCAAAUGAAUUCCAAGAAAAAAAGGCUGAGCAAACAGUGAAAAGAAGGGGUAUAGGUAAGGUGGAGUUCAGGUGUACCCCACCCCAAACCCUAAACAGCAGCCCUAACAGUGCUCCCGUUUCCUUGAGACAGCUGCAGGCAGGAACCCUAAAGCAGCAGAGUGCCAGAACCCACGAGAGGUGCAGGCAGUUCCCUGGUGCUAGGGCCAGCCAGGAAGAGAUAGUGGGGGGACGAUCCGCAGGGUUGGGGAAACAGGGGGUUUCCCGCCCCACCCCACCCUGGGCUCUCUGUCCCUCCGCAGCCGGGGAUUGCUCCCAGCCCUCCUCGAGGCGGCGGUUGGUAAGGCUUCGUGCCUGGCCUCCGCAAAGAGUUCGGCUCUGUCAGCCUCUGCCCUGUCUCAGGGCCAAACUUAGGUAGGGUAGGGAGCAACUGUGGAUUGCCUGGUCCGGGCUAAGGGACAUCUCUUGGGGCCUAUGGAUAAGGAGCAUCCCCGGUUGCAAGCGUAGGGUUGUAAGUUUGUAGGGUUCAGUGGGGCAGCUUGGCAGUGACACAGAGAGGCUGAGGGAGGGCUUCAGAGGUCAAGGGCUCGAGGGCUGGAGACAAACAGUGAAAAUAAAAGGGGUACAGGUUGGGAUAUAAGGUAGAGU
rnacentral:lncRNA from 1 species